AUUGAACGCUGGCGGAAUGCUUUACACAUGCAAGUCGAACGGCAGCACGGACUUCGGUCUGGUGGCGAGUGGCGAACGGGUGAGUAAUGUAUCGGAACGUGCACAGUCGUGGGGGAUAACGUAGUGAAAAUUACGCUAAUACCGCAUACGAUCUAUGGAUGAAAGCGGGGGAUCGCAAGACCUCGCGCGAUUGGAGCGGCCGAUAUCAGAUUAGGUAGUUGGUGGGGUAAAGGCCCACCAAGCCAACGAUCUGUAGCUGGUCUGAGAGGACGACCAGCCACACUGGAACUGGGACACGGUCCAGACUCCUACGGGAGGCAGCAGUGGGGAAUUUUGGACAAUGGGCGAAAGCCUGAUCCAGCCAUUCCGCGUGCAGGAUGAAGGCCCUCGGGUUGUAAACUGCUUUUGUACAGAACGAAAAGGUUUCUACUAAUACUAGGAGCUCAUGACGGUACCGUAAGAAUAAGCACCGGCUAACUACGUGCCAGCCGCCGCAGUAA
rnacentral:rRNA from 1 species